GACGAACCGAGCGAACGUUGUUCGGAAUCACUGGGCUUAAAGGGCGCGUAGGCGGGUGCUCAAGUCCGUGGUGAAAUCCUCCGGCUCAACCGGAGAACUGCCUCGGAUACUGGGCGUCUCGAGUGUGGUAGGGGUAUGCGGAACUAUCGGUGGAGCGGUGAAAUGCGUUGAUAUCGAUAGGAACUCCGGUGGCGAAGGCGGCAUACUGGACCACAUCUGACGCUGAGGCGCGAAAGCCAGGGGAGCAAACGGGG
rnacentral:rRNA from 1 species